rnacentral:rRNA from 1 species
UACGGAGGGUGCAAGCGUUAUCCGGAUUUACUGGGUUUAAAGGGUGCGUAGGUGGGUUGGUAAGUCAGUGGUGAAAUCUUCGAGCUUAACUCGGAAACUACCAUUGAUACUAUUAAUCUUGAAUUAUCUGGAGGUAAGCGGAAUAUGUCAUGUAGCGGUGAAAUGCUUAGAUAUGACAUAGAACACCCAUUGCGAAGGCAGCUUACUACGGAUAUAUUGACACUGAGGCACGAAAGCGUGGGGAUCAAACAGG